rnacentral:tRNA from 1 species
AUCCUGGUGGCGUAGUGGUUAAGUGCUAUGGCUCCUAACCAUGAGGUUGGCAGUUCGAAUCUGCCGGAUA